rnacentral:rRNA from 1 species
UACGUAGGUGGCAAGCGUUGUCCGGAUUUACUGGGUGUAAAGGGCGUGCAGCCGGGCUGACAAGUCAGAUGUGAAAUCCCGCGGCUCAACCGCGGAACUGCAUUUGAAACUGUCAGUCUUGAGUACCGGAGAGGUCAUCGGAAUUCCUUGUGUAGCGGUGAAAUGCGUAGAUAUAUGGAGGAACACCGGUGGCGAAAGCGGCUCUCUGGCCUGUAACUGACACUGAGGCUCGAAAGCGUGGGGAGCAAACAGG